rnacentral:ribozyme from 13 species
GAAAAAAGAAUACCAAGAGAAUAAAUAUCAGCAGAAGUUGUAUAUUCUGAGGAAUUCAGAAUUUCGGGGGACAUGUGUGUUGAUGUGUUUUGUCCCAUUUCUUCUUUUUUGUUUUUGAUUCCUUCUUUUGCUUCCUGAAGUUGAAUAUGACCAUGUAAACGAGAAGAAAGACCAAUAUCCCCAAUCUUCGCAACAGGAGAAGGAUCACAAAACCUCUUCCUCCCAACUCUCUCCUUCUCCCCUCUCUCUUCCAUUUUUCUUUUGAGAUUUCAAGAGCUUUGUUGAGAAAAGAGAGCCCUUCUUCUUCUUUUUUCAGUAAAAUAUACCCCGAUCCUAAUUUUCGAAAAGUUGUUGACUUCCAAUG